rnacentral:rRNA from 1 species
CCUACGGGUGGCAGCAGUGGGGAAUAUUGCUCAAUGGGCGAAACCCUGAACCAGCAACGUCGCGUGGAGGAUGAAGGUUCUCGGAUUGGUAACUCCUUUUGUUAGAGAAGAUAAUGACGGUAUCUAACGAAUAAGCACCGGCUAACUCCGUGCCAGCAUCGGCGGUAAUACGGAGGGUGCAAGCGUUACUCGGAAUCACUGGGCGUAAAGAGGGCGUAGGCGGGAUAGCAAGUCAGAUGUGAAAUCCUAUGGCUUAACCAUAGAACUGCAUUUGAAACUGUUAUUCUAGAGUGGGCGAGAGGUAGGUGGAAUUCUUGGUGUAGGGGUAAAAUCCAUAGAGAUCACGAAGAAUACUCAUUGCGAAGGCAACCUGCUAGAACCUAACUGACGCUGAUGCACGAAAGCGUGGGGAGCGAACAGGAUUAGAUACCCCUGUAGUC